rnacentral:rRNA from 1 species
AUUCCCAAAUCUCUUCGCAAGGGACUGGCCACCGUGACGCUGCUGACGGGAUGGAUGAUCUAGAAACAGCAUAACGCCUGCGUCUUCUAUGGGAUUCCCUCUGUCCACUUGCUGACCGAGAAAAUCAGAGCCGAGGCAGCGCUCUGGGCUCGAGCUGGGGCUGCUAGUCUUCGCUUGGUGAUCCCAAACACCUGGGAUGUCCAUUAA